ensembl:lncRNA
AGGUGAUGCUAGUGAUAAUCACGCAGAGUCUUUGACUGUUGUGAUGCCCUCACUGGGCAUCCUUGCUGAGGGGCCAAUGGUGCAGGUGGAUCUCUUUUUUGCAGGUACAGAAGGACGUGCUCUGUAGAUUAUUCCAGCAGAUAAGUUUCUUUCUGAGAAACAAGCUCAACCAGGAGAUGUUGCCAUGAAAUCUGGACCUUUUAAGGUAAGUCAAGUAUUUGCAGUAACAGAUGAAAUUUUAUAUGUGUCACUGUGGAACAACAGUGCUAGACAUGACAGGUGAGGCUUCCUUUUGUACCAUCCCCACUGAACAUUUCUCAAAGAACUUUCUGUGAAAAUUCUUUGCCUCUUCUACCCUGUGGGUAGGCCAGAACUGCAUGUAUCCUUCAGUUUCUGGAGCUGAUCUGUCGUGCUACAGCACAGCAUUAAGCAUCAUUCAUUAUGUUUGUAGCCCUUACCUACCAUAGCUCCAUUUCUACUCCCAGCACAGCAAGCAGCAGGUCUGUUUUAUCUGGUGAGAGCACAGCAUGAAGUGGGCUGCUGAGACUACUGGCAUCCAGCAUGACGCCCUCUACAGUCCCAGGCAAUGCACUGUUCUGGAAUAGCACAGAAGUGAUGAAAUCAAUGGGAAUGUUACAAAAGCACAGCUUCCACCGUAUGUUUCCUGGAGCUUGCUCUGACACCAGUAUGCCAUGUGUCCUACUCUCCCCAUGUUGCCACACAAACCUCGUGAUGCCUUGGCUCUCUGCACAGUCCUGAAACUGUUGUACACAUUGCUGGGGAUCCUACUUUCACAUGGGAGCCGCUUCUGAAAAAUCCCUAAUGCUAAGGGUACAGCUGCUUGCAGCCACAGCACUCAGAAGAGGCACGAUAUUUUUCAUAAUUUGCGGACCAUGUAUGCAUACUUUAGACAUUUCUCUAUCUGCAGAACAUGUGGAUCUGAACUCUGUCUCCCACUGUACAUUCCAGUGCCUGAAUGUUAAGAGUUCCUCUUCUCAGUCAACCAGUGCAAUGUAUGGACCAGAUCUCUGUGCUGAGUCUAAAAUAAUCUAUUUGGUUCUAUCUCCACCCUACUAAGUAACUGUAGAUGAGAUGCAUUAAUGGUCUUUGCCUCACUUUUUUUUCUCUGUAAAACUGCGGUAGUGAUCCUGGUUUAUUUGUAGAAAACAAAGUUCAACUGAUGAGAAGAGCUAUCAAAGAGCUAAGUGUUGUCAUUACCUGAGCGAUCUUUUCAUUUCUCCAUUAAUCUUGUAAAAGACACAGGUACUCUGCUUACCAAACCUCAUCUACAAGACGGUACAAUGGUGAGGACUCAUUACAAAUUAUAGAAAAAAAAUUCUGGAAAACAGAUCCUUUUGUCUUGCCCCAGUGGUGCCAAUUGGACUAGGAGGCUUUUUAAAAUGAGAAUUUAUCUUUACAAAGAUUUGUAGCCAAGCCUUUCCAGUUUGUUAAAAUGUAAUUAAUGUCUGCUUGUUAAUAUGAUGUUCAUUGAUUUUUAAAGUACACAGACUUCAAAGCAGAAAAUAAAUAAAUAAAAAGAGAGAUAAUUCAAACCAGAGUGGAACAGCUCGGACAGUUUUACUCUUUUGCCAGGAUCCCAAAGCUGUUGUGUUCAAACAAUGCCACAGUUUGAGUGGAAAUGUGAGAUUAAAUCCAAACCCCACAUGUCAGCUUUUUUGCAAAUGACUAUCCAGGAUUUCACUAAAAUGUUCAACCACAACAGAUCAUGUUGCAGGGAUUUUUAUUGCUUAACAGCUCGUGAUAGUCUUCUGUUUCUCUACUAUGCAUAAUAGGCCCAUGCAUCUAGAAACUAGUAAAUAUCAGUGAAAUGUUGGUACCUAACUCUGUUAGACGCUUUGGAAGGAGUAUUUCAAAUUGUCAAAAGAGGAAAGAGUUUACAAAGAUGAUGGGUGGUUACAGAAGCUCCCAGUGACAUAUCAAUGCAGUGUGGCACACAAGGGAACGUACUCGGUAUGGAACAGAAUUUUAUCACAGUAAUGGAGAAAAGAUGCAAGAAUCAGAUGGAGAUUAUUUCAAAUUCAUGCAGGAGUUCAAAGCUGUGGUUGAGGAAUGACACGAGGAGACUGCAGAACUCUAGAGAACACCUUCUGAAAAAGGCUUGGAGGACAGAAAAGUGAAAAUAAUCAUCCAUGGAAGAAGACUAUGCAAGUACAAGAGGGAGGAUGGAAAUGGCCACUGCAGGAGAGAUGAAGCAGAGCAACACACUUGCUUGACUGGAGAAGGAAAACAUUUCACUAGCAAAGAAGAAAGGAAGGGAAAAUAUCCCUCUAAGACAAAAUAAGACAGUGGAGACAAGCAGGAUUGAGACUCAACAGGACAGAAUGAGGGAGAAAAGAAGACAGAUUGAUUUCCAGACAAGCAAAAGAGAAGAGGGGAUCCCACCACACCACUGAGACCUGUGUGUCUGUGACUGUGGACAAGUCUCUUAAUUGCUUAGAACAAGGGAGGAACAAUGUCAAGCUGAAAGACAGAGAGAUGCCUUCUCUCCCAUAGCUAGGAAUGUAAGAUGUGCACAGGUGGCAAAGAGAAUAAGUAAAGGUGAUGGUAGCAAGGACUGUAUUUCAUUCAGGACAAAAUGGAAACAUGUCAAGAAUAAAUCUAAUGGGAAGAGGACAGUACUUUAAGAUAGAGAUGCUCCAGUAGUUUUUCUACUGAAUUCUUCCAGUUCUUGUGGAAAAUUAUAAGUGAAGGAAAAGUGAUACAGGCUCUCAGAAAUAGAUCUGUGAAGGAAAUCUGAGGAUGUUUUAAUACUGAGAGGCAAACACCUGAAGCAGGUACUUCUCUGAAGGUGGUCUCCAUUUGGCUGCUUGUGACACCAGCCUUCCAGUGAGUAAAGGUACCUCUCAGGUGUAAAAUAGCAGGAAGUGGGCAUGAGAGUACUGUCUGAUCUAACCGACAGGAAAAGAAAAAAACUUGAUAUGAAAUAUAUUAAGGGAUGACAGUCCUCAAAAGAGAAAAGUGCACUGAAAUAGAAGUAUUAAUCCUCCACUGGUCCCAGUGUGAGAAGAUAAUUUUCUCUAAAAAGUUUGAAAUUGCCAUUCACUUUGUAAUGGCGGAUUUACUGUAGGAUGCCAUCCAUGGUGAGCACAGAAGGAGGUUAGCUGUGUGAGAACAUCUAAGCCUUCAUUCCUGUACUGCAUACAGUGUAAGUGUUGUGGUCUCUUUCUGUUCUUUGAAAACUGAGGGGCCACCUAAGAUAAAAUGCUUCAUCGUUAUCCCAGACAGUCUUGACAGGAGAGGUAGUCAAUGCGAACACUGUCCCAAGAGGUAAAAAAAAAAAAGAAAGAAAGAAAGAAAGAAAGAAAGAUUGGAGACAAAUAGACAAAUCACUGAGUUCAGGAUUAUCUGCUUGCUUUAGAAAUUGCAUUUUGCAAUAGUCUCCCCAUCUGAGUGAUCACACCGGGACCAGGCUGCAGGCAUGGCUUCAUCUAAACUUUCACGAGUAAGUCUUUCUUACCUUGGCUCACUUAGACUUAACUAAGAGCAUAGAUAGGAGCAUCUCCAUUCACAAAGGUAGCAGCACAGUUUAGAUGAUAGUAGCUUUCAGAAGAGGGGUGAUAUUGAUCACCAUGAGGGAGCAGCAGCUGCUUUCUUUGCUAUUUCUGAAGGCAGCAGGGAUAGUUGCCUUUGGAUUUGUCCAAAGUUGCAGCACGUCUACAUAAAUUUAAGUCACCAGCAGCCAAAAUUAAACCAAUGAAGAUCUUAGAAAUUUUGAGUAUGGAGUCAGUUCAAGGCCCCUCUAAGUCAAAAUUGAUUUUGGGGAUUUGCAUCUCAGCAGCAUAGCUGCAGGGAGUCCUGAGG